AUACGGAGGGCGCAAGCGUUGUUCGGAAUCAUUGGGCGUAAAGCGCGUGUAGGCGGCUUGGCAAGUCGGACGUGAAAGCCCGGGGCUCAACCCCGGAACUGCGCUCGAAACUGCCUCGCUAGAGUCCCGGAGAGGAGGGCGGAAUUCCCGGUGUAGAGGUGAAAUUCGUAGAUAUCGGGAGGAACACCAGCGGCGAAGGCGGCCCUCUGGACGGUGUCUGACGCUCAGACGCGAAAGCGUGGGGAGCAAACAGGAUUAGAAACCCCAGUAGUCC
rnacentral:rRNA from 1 species